CAGUCGCCGCGGGAAAACGGAGGGUGCAAGCGUUAUCCGGAUUUAUUGGGUUUAAAGGGUCCGUAGGCGGAUCUGUAAGUCAGUGGUGAAAUCUCACAGCUUAACUGUGAAACUGCCAUUGAUACUGCAGGUCUUGAGUAAAUUUGAAGUGGCUGGAAUAAGUAGUGUAGCGGUGAAAUGCAUAGAUAUUACUUAGAACACCAAUUGCGAAGGCAGGUCACUAAGAUUUAACUGACGCUGAUGGACGAAAGCGUGGGGAGCGAACAGGAUUAGAUACCCCCGUAGUCCCUGUCUCUUAUAC
rnacentral:rRNA from 1 species